rnacentral:rRNA from 1 species
UACGUAGGGUGCAAGCGUUAAUCGGAAUUACUGGGCGUAAAGCGUGCGCAGGCGGUUCGGAAAGAAAGAUGUGAAAUCCCAGGGCUUAACCUUGGAACUGCAUUUUUAACUACCGGGCUAGAGUAUGUCAGAGGGGGGUGGAAUUCCACGUGUAGCAGUGAAAUGCGUAGAUAUGUGGAGGAACACCGAUGGCGAAGGCAGCCCCCUGGGAUAAUACUGACGCUCAUGCACGAAAGCGUGGGGAGCAAACAGG